GCUAGUUAGGAAUUGGGGUAUUUUUGAGGUGAAAUGGUAGUUGGCGAGAUUCACCUUGGAGAAGAUGCUGGCAUAGGCCAUGGAAGUCAUAUGCUUGUCGUUGAAUGAUCUGGUGUUAGUUAUUUGGGACACCUAAGACUCUAGUUGCUCAUAUAGUAAGUCACUUGGUAUUUAUCAUCUGGGAGCUCCGACUCUCAAGCUAUCUCAAGGUUAAUUUUGAUGGUAGUGUGAGAGGUAGCAGAUGAUAAGAUUCAUAAUUCAUAGUCUCGACUCCAAAUUUGUGGUGGCAAGUGAGAGCCAUUUCCUAAAUAGCAUUGUUCCAAGAGUGGAGAUACAGGCCGUCGAGGUGGGAAUUACCUUCACCAGGCUGAGGCUGAGGGUAGGGAGACUUAUGAUCAAGGGGGACAGCCACUGUGAUUGGCUGGAUGAGGAAGCAACCAAAAGAGGUG
rnacentral:lncRNA from 1 species